rnacentral:misc_RNA from 1 species
CCCUCGUGACCGUGAAAAUAUCAAUAGAAUAAAACAAUAAUUCCCUAUUUGCGGUUUUUGUUUUUUUUUCCUCUACUUGACUGAACUGUAGGGAAUUAAGGGUGGUUUGACUGUAGGCUGUAGCAUACAGUUUUCAGAAUGGCAAUCGAAUAUGGAAACUGAAAAUGGAAAAAAGGGCUGAUCCAAUGAUUGAAACUCUGGAAUGGUGGUAACCUGUGGAUUUAUGUUAUCAUUUUUUAUUUCUGUUGAUAAACUAAAUAGAAUAUGAAAACUUAAAAAACCGUAUCAUAGAAAUACGUCCAAUCAAGCAAGAAAAAAUCUUAAAAUGCAGAUUCCAUCAUGGUAUAUAACAGUUUUAGUAAAAUACCCGCAACUCGUUUUAUUGUUGAUUACUGGUUUUACAGUGAUAUGUGUAAUUUUGCCAUUUUUUGUAAAUGACAUGAGACUACCAAAAUUUCAAGAUCCCCAGUUGGGAUUUUCGACCAGAGGUACAGAAAUAUCAGCCACUUUGAUAGCAUGGGAAAACCUACAAAAAGAAUUAAAGCCAUCUGGUAGUCUAACAAAGAAUCCCAAAGAGUAUCUGAUGAUCAGGAAUAGGACCAGUCCCAUUAAUUCGAAAGAUCCAUACUUUAGAACUCGAGGCACAAGAAGAAAGCAAAAAUCUCUAGGAACUAGGGAUAGCAAAACUGAGCAAGAUUUUAUAAAUGAAACAGUUUAUGGAAAAGUAAUAAAAACUGAGAAGAAUGCCAUGAUAAUGCCGGAAGUAUCUAACAAGUGGCAAGUCAUUCAGAAUUUGACUGACACAAUCCCUAGUUAUAAGAGCCUCAAUUAUCACAAACAGUUUUGUGGCUCACCAGAUGAAAAAUAUUCCCAUUUAGUAAUUUCAACACCGAAUAAGGAAAACUUAUUUAGCCAUAAAAACCUAUUAUCACUAUGCAGAUUAGAAAAUGUUUUAAUGAGCUUACAUAGUGUGCCGCAACUCUGCAUUUCCAACACAGAGGUUGAAGGAGAAUGCUGCAAACCCUGGUCAUUAGCUAAUUACAUCGCUGCACUUUUUGGACGAACUUCAUGUUUACAGAUUACGGAAAAGGAUGUUAAGCGGACGUACCAACUUCUUAAAAAGUGCGCCGGAUUUUAUCAUCGCAAUGAACUUAAUACUAAUUGUUUUAAAAAGAAGCACUGUGAUAUUCCUGUAAACUGCCUAAAGCACGACGCAGUUGUGAACAUUCUCAGUUUUUUGUCUGGCAAGACUUUCUUUCCUGCAGAGACAUUUAUGAAUGACUCGCAAAUUCUCGAGGAAACUAUUUUAUUCUUUCCGAUAGCUGCAAGCAUUGCCAGCGUGUCCUUCUAUAAGGAAAUUGAAGAAAAACUUACCUCUAAGAAGUUUGAAGGUCUGCUAAUAGUAGCGGCGGAUUUUGGAAUUAAAAGUAUGCUAUUCGACGAGUACUUAAAAGAGGAUGCGCGAUUUAUGGCUCUGGCAGGAUUAAUCAUAUUUAUAUUUAUCUGGUCUUACACUGGAUCUUUCUUUUUAACAGUUAUGACUGGCGCAACUAUAUUUAUUCAGCUGAUUGUGGCCUAUUUUUGCUAUGAGAUGAUAUUCAAAAUACCUUUUUUUCCAUUCAUGAAUUUGUUGGCAAUAAUUAUAUCAUUAGGAAUUGGAGCAGAUAGUUCAUUUAUUUUAUGUAAAAUGUGGCAUGUGAAGAAAAAUGAUGAAGCUAAUGACAAUGAUGUCCAUGAAAUAUUGACUGGUACGAUUAAACAUGCUUUUAAAUCAAUGUUUGUUACCGCCUUGACAACGGCCGUAGCCUUUUGGGGUUCUUAUGUCAGUACUGUUACUGCUAUUAGCUGCUUUAGUAUAUUUGCCGGGACUGCAGUUAUAUUAAAUUAUCUCUUAAUGAUUUCCUGGAUUCCAGCCUGUUUAGUUAUUUGGGAAAAGUCAUGGCUCUCUCACUCCAUACAUCCGGUUUGUUUUGUAAUGUUCAGCCAAUUGUUCUGUUGUUUUAAAUCGCAAUGGACUAUGUCACCUGUAUUUGGAAAAUGUCUCACUGCUUUAUGGAAUGGAAAAAAGGAGUUACUUAUCCAACUAAUCAUAAAGUUAAGAUAUUUUUGGAUCCUAAGUUUUACUAUUCUGGGAGCAACAAGCGGUUUCCUCGUGUUUGUGAAACCGGGAAUUGGCCCACCGGUAACAGCUGAAUUUCAACUUUUUCGAUCAGAUCAUCUAUUUGAGAAAUAUGAUUUUGAAUACAAAAACAAGUUCUUAUUUAAAACCGGAGGGGAAGACAUGACCAACAGAGAUUUCCCCAUGCCGUUACGAUUUGUAUGGGGUGUUUUACCAAUAGAUAAUGGAAAUCCGUUGGACCCUUCAAACUUGGGAACUUUAAUAAUGGAUCCAGAAUUUAACGCCACCGAUCUAGAAUCGCAAAGUUGGUUAAUGGAUUUUUGUAAUAAGAUAAAGUCCCAACCGUUUUAUCAGCCUAUGGUAAUAGGUGUGUCGCUAACCAGUUGUUUUCUUAAAACAUUUGCUGAUAGCAUGAAGCAGCCGUGCCAUGAUAGAUUAUCAAAAAAAGAUAGAACUCCCUGUUGUAAUGUGUCCCACUUCCCGUUUGAACGUGAAGUUUUUAAUUACUGUAUCAUGGAAGAAAUGGAAGAUAUUUAUAAUGGACCAGACAGAUUUGUAUAUCCAAAAACAGCCGGAGCCAUGUUCUCCAAAGAAGACAAUCCUGAAAUUAAAGCCAUUGUAGUGGAGUUUGAUAGUAAUGUAACUUUUUCAUUAUCAUACGAAAAAGUUAAUAAAUUUUAUCUCGAGUUAGAAUCUUGGAGGAAACGCCAGAUGAGGACAGCUCCAUUUUCUAUGAAGAACGGCUUUUUUGUUAGUGAGUUAGGAUUUUUCGACUUACAGCGCGAAUUAAGUAGAGGUACCCAAACAGCAAUUUUCGUGUCCAUGGUUCUGGCCACAGUUGUGCUAAUAAUUUCCACUCUGAACCCUAUUCUUACGGUUGCUGCUAUCGUUACCAUAACCUUUAGUAUUUUAUCUACUAUAGCGGCUUUAAUACUUUUCGGUUGGAGUCUAAAUAUUUUGGAAUCUCUAGCAAUUUCAUCUGCAAUCGGGUUAUCUGUUGAUUUUAGUUUGCAUUAUUGCAUAAAUUAUAGAAUUUGCCCACGAGAAAUGGCUGGGAAUCGUGAGCAGAUUACACGAUAUGCCCUUUCCUGUUUAAUGGGCCCGUCUUUUAUGGCAGCACUAACAACUGUGGCCGCCGGGUGUUCUAUGCUAUUUUCGAUAAUAUUACCAUAUUACCAGAUAGGAUUAUUUCUAGUAUUAAUUAUGACAAUAAGUUGGACUUAUGCAACGUUCUUUUUGGGGUCUCUUUUGGCUACCAUAGGACCACAAAACAGUUGCCAAUAUACUUACAAAGCAUUAUUUCGAAAUGCUUUUUGUAGAGAAAAUAAAUCUACAACACUACCGAACUGUGAUUCAACACAAAAUAGAUCCACUGUUUCGGAAUUAGACAGGGUUUCUUUUAUUAAGCGAGAUACAUCACAGCCGUUGAAAAAGAAAACAUCAUUUCUUAAAGACUCUGCUGUCAGAUAUACGGUUGAGAAUCAAAUUAAUGAUCAAUCUCCUUCCAGCAAUGUUACAAUCAUAAUGGCAGAGGAUAAUUAAAGUUUAUUUGAUAAUAAUAGUAAUAAGCUCUCAUAUCUAUCAGAAGUAAAUUAAUUUUGAUAUUUACGAACUAUUUUACAAUACUUUUUUUAAAAGUCACAUCUUUAUUUCACUAUUUCUUAUUUUUACAAGUCGAAAAUUAGUUAUAAAAAGAAAGUUAAUUGUCAAAAAUCGAGGGCAGAGCAAUUAUUUUUUGUCAACUUGCACUUGUCUUUCUAUGGAUGUCUAAUAGUUUGCUUUUAGAACUCUUUUGAGUAUAACAAUAUAAUAGUGAAAGAUGAUAGAUAUUGAUGAUGUAUAUUGGAAAACUAUUUAGAUGUACUAUUUGUUUUUUAGAUAUUCCAAACGUCAAAUGGCGUAUUUUCAUUAGGAACUAAUUGACCUGCCCUCGAACAUUUCCAAAAAUUUGGAAGCAACAUAAAAAAUAAAAGAAAGUAUUAUGAUGAUAAUAAUGUCCCUAUUUUGCCAGUAUUAUAUAAUAGGAAAUACCUUUUAGAAACAAUAAAUAUUUUUUAUAAAACGUUUUUCAGUAUAAUAAUAAUUCUUAUUAGUAAUUCUUAAAAAAAAAACAAAUAUAGCAAAGUUUUUAUUUUAUAAAUUACAUCUUAGUAAGAGACAAUUAUUUUUGAAAUAAGAUAUUGCAAAUUAACGGUAUUUAAAUUAGUUUUUUAUUGCGAUAUAAUUCUAAAGCACUUUGUUCGCAACAAAAUAUAUAUUUUAUGUCAAGAUUAUUUUUCUUUUAACAUUACAGUGGCUAAAAAAGUUACUGUUCUGACUGGCAUAAUUGUUUUGCUCUUUGAUUUUUAUUAGUUCUCGCGUGAAGAUCACCCCUGAUCAAAGUACCCUUCUGAUAAAGUAGUUAUUUUGAAUUAUUUAUGAAUCAUUAUUUUUAUCAUUUCACCUUUAAGUAGUCGCGAGACGGCAAUUUAAAUUCAAGUGAUUAUCCAAUCAUCCAACUAUUAGUUUAGUGAUCUUGAAAAUUUACAAGCACUCGAAAUUUUAUAAUAAACUGAUCUAAUACGCCGAUCGGCGCAUACAAAUGGCGUUCCAGUAAGAAGUUUCAGAUGUUGGUAAUGAAUAAAAUAACAUGUUUCUAACAUACCUGCAAGUUAUUUAGAGCAGUGUCUAGCUGGACAGUGUACAAUUAUACGUGGCCACCACGACUUCUCCGGCAGCACAUAAUUCUUUUGUUGAAAUUUUCCAUUAUUUCUAAAUAUAUUUCUGAGGUACACGAAUUAUUCGUCUAAUUUCUUCUUUCAGUUAUUGAAUGGUUUGAGGAUUGUUUUCGUAAGCUUUGCUUUUUAUAUGGCCCCACAAUUAAUGAUCCAGUGGUGUCAAUUCGUUUGAUCGUGCUGGCCAAUUUACGUCCCCUUUACUUAAGGUAAUCCUCCCUCCAAACCCUGUAUACAAUAAUUUAAUGUGUCUCGUACAGUAUGACAUGUCGCAUUAUCUUGUUGGAAGCAUAUCAUUAAAUUCAUGUUCAUUAUCUCAUUCCAUAAUAAACCAUCAAUCAUUGUUCGGUAUCGCUCUCCAUUGUAACAGGUUGUUCGUCUUCAUUUUUUAAAAAUAUGGUCCAAUGAUACCCCCAAGUCAAAAACCGCACCGAACUGUGACAUGCUGAGUAAGUAUUGGCUUUUCGUAGAUUUGUCUAGGAUUUUCAUUGCUCUAGAUAGGACAAGUUCUGCUAAUGGCUAAAUUUUGCUAACGCCUUUUAACGGACAUUUGUGAUUUUUCAGCCACACUUUCACACAACAGUUGCACUUGCACAGAUCCGGUAGUUUCGAAAUUAUGCGAAUGGUUACUUCUGAGGAACGAUUGCGUACACCAAAGUAACGAAUUCGGCGACUGAACACCCCUUUUGAAAAUAUUUUUUAAUAACGUAAACACGUUGUUAGAUCGUAUAGUGCUACUUUUUUAAAAUUGUACUGAAUUCCCCAAUGAAAUAAAAACCAAAUAACAUAAACAAAGUUUUAGAUGAGUAUACUAGCAAAAAAAAAACAUUCGAAACCUCUUAUUUAUUAUAUUGGGAAAAGGACAUGAAGGCCUGUUGCUCUUUUUUUCUGAAAAAGUUGGCUUGAGGAUUAGCAAAGCCCUGUUGAUGGAAAGAAACGACGACUUACAAAGUGCGAGAAAAAUUUGAAUACGACUUCAAAGUAAUUUUCAAGAAAGUCUCGAGAAAAACCGUCAGAUCGUCAGAUGGUUCGAAGAAAUGAUGCAAUAUUUGUCCCACAUCAAAAAAAAUAAGCUUGGUAGAGUAAGUUAAUUCGUUUACCAGACGCAUCUUUUCCAAGGACGUUAAAGAAACUUUGCUAUAUCUAAAUUACUAUAAAAAAUCAUUAGGAUUUAAUUUAUAAACAGAAUUCCUAUAUUUUUCCUUUAUUUGUAAUUUGUUUAGUGUUUUCAUUCUACUAUAGUUUUUUUUGUAGAAAUUUUUGUUUUUAAGUUUUAUUUUAUUCAACCAUUUAGAUUAAUGUAUUUAUUUUAACAAUAUUAUAAUAGUGUAAUAAAAAGGAAAAUGAAAGAUCACUAAAAAGAUGCAAAAAUUGCCUGUCCUACGUUGACGUCAUAUGGUGCCGCGCGACUACUUAAAGGUUUAAUAAUCUGGGAUUUAUAGAAAAUUACAUUUAAAUGUCAUAUUUAUGCCGGCAUUAAUAGGCAAAAUUGCCAGUCCUGAUGCAGACUUACGUUUUUUUAUUAAUUUUGUUUAACUUCAGAUACCUAAAUUUAUUCACUAAGAGUCUUAUUUAAAAUAAGGUUUUUAACUUUUAAGCGAUUCAAAGCAGGACUUCUCAAAGGUGAAGAUAAUAUGUUGAAGAGUACACGUACUUAAAAUUACUUUAAAAUCGCCAUGACAAAACCACGGUUUUCAUACUGCAUUUAAAACUGUUUUAUUGUGAAACUUUAAGUUUUAUAUAGAUGUUGAUGUUUCAGUAUCCAGAAUUAUAAUAUGUACGUAUAUAUAAAAUAUUCAAAUAUGGACAAUAGUGUCUCAAUCGUUUCAAAUUUUAAAGUAUAAUUCGACUUUUUGUUUGUGAGCUACAUAUAUCGCCUAGACUUUAGGCAAGAAUAUUACAUUUAAAUUAUCUUGUUUAUCUAUUUAAACAUCACCAAAUUAUUGCCGAGACUCCAUUACCAUAUCAUUGUAUUUGAUUCCUAAGAAUUUCAAGUCGUUUUAUUUAUUUUUUUGUAAUAUAUUGUAACUGAUUAGAGCCUUAUUCUUGUCCAUUUAUUUAGGGCUCUAAUAAAUAUAUUUAUGUAUUAGCUGUGUAGUUUAAGUCUGGCCAUAAUAUAUAUGUAAUAAUUGGAAAAUUGUAGAUGUGUAUAUAUAUAUAUAUAUAUAUCUGUAUGUAUGUAUGUAUUAUGUAGAUAAGCAUACUAGUUGAUUUAUAGGAAGAGUUAUAAAUUAUACCGUGCAGUCGUUGGCAGAAAUUAAAAUGGUAGAUUUAAUAUUGAAAUAAAGGAGUUAUUAAUCUAGAGAAAGUGCAGUAGAAAAAAUAUUUCAAAUUAUUGUUUAUUAUAAUAAUUAGUUCUUAGCUGUAAAAAAUCUACUUAAUACGUUGAAAACAUUAAAUAUACAUAUUCAGACAUGCCCGUUGAAAUAGGGCAAUAUAUAAAAGAAAUAUUAGGGUAAUUGUUAUAAAUGCUUUUUUCGACGCCCCAAACGCCAAAAAUGAAAUACAAACAUUAUGGUUUUAAUUAUCCUUAGGUGGUAGUACUAGUACAGUAAUAAGGAGCUCCGAAAAUAUUUAUUUCGAACGGUGACUCAUUGUGUUCGUUUUAUUCUUUUCCCACUCGUUCCUUUAGACUUUUUCAUUGUAUUACAACAUCAAAUUUGUUGCCAUUCGGAGGUUAUAUAAUAUUUACAUUGAAGCUGUAUUUCUUGUAUUGGUAUAUUCUGACAUAAUUUGUCGUUUGAGAGAUAUAUGUUGUGGGAAAAUCGCUCUAUAUGGUGAACUCUUUUGGCACGUCUCGAUGUGCAAUUUGUGAUAGACAAAGCACUUCUUUUAAUCGGGAAAUUAUAGCUUGAACGGGUUUAAACCCUACACCAAUUGUAUGAUAUAUUUUUUUAAAUAUGAUUUUGCUUCAAUGCGAAUACUAUUAGUUUUUUAGAUAUAAAACUUUAACGUGCGUGAUCAGAUUUCUCUCUAGUCAUAUUCCAUAUACGAAUCCAACAGGCAAUAUAUACUAGGAUGAAAGUCUUUGUAUAUACAAGGUUGAAUUUAACCAGAAAGGUAGGAUUAGGUUUUAAUGAAACAGUCCUUGAUUAAAAUUACCAAUUAUUUUUAUCUGACUGUUAUUUCAGAAUUAAGUUACAGUAUCCUUUGUGAAGUGCAUUUUACAGUCCGUAUUUUACUUUGUAGUGUAAAUGUGAGUCACAUAGAGCAACGUUAGAAUAUUUAACUGGCUUCUUGUUUAUGCGCCCCGACAUAGUAGCAAUGCUGUUUUUUGCCUCUAGGGCUUUGAAUACCAUGAAUUCAUUCUUUGUUGAUUGAUGAAAUUUAUUUACAGAUCUUCUUAAAUCUUUGCUGCCUAAAAGCUCAUCAAUUUUUUUCAUAUUUUAUAGAAAAUACUACAACUUAACUAGAAUUGGAAGUUUACGAAGAACUCUUAUCCCUCUAGUUAAAACUAAAUUGCAGUUUUCAAAAUUGUCGUAACUGCAGCUAGACAAAGAUAAUAUUCUGAACAAAUCUUUGUUAACUCGAUUUAGGGCAGAGGGUACAAAUGGAAGUUAAGAUGAAGUACUGAAUAAAUUGUCAAUCAACAAAGCUCAUAAUAAGAAGAGUUGGAUAGAGAGAAAUAGAAAAAGAUUUACGUUUGAAGAGAAGAAUUAAGAAUAGAAGGCUUAACACAUUAACGUUCUGUAUGUGGUACACUGUGACAUCUACUAAAAUAUAGUUUUCUUCUAAGUAUAUUUACUGACUAACUGGGUCUGCUGGCUAUGGAGAAUGUGAUCAUGAUCCAUCAACGUUACUAUCAUUCAACGUGUUAAGUAUAUUUUUUCUAAAUAUUGCAAGGUCCUUUCCAGCCAUAUAUUCAGUAUUACUUACUAUAUACAACUCUGCGAUUGCGUUUACCACAUAAUGAACCCAUUGAUGACCUUUCUCUCUUAUAAUAACUACUAUAUAAUAAUUAUUAAUUAGAUAUCAUUAGUUUGUAUGGAUUAUUUAUAAAAUUGAAGAGAAGACUAGUUCUGUGAUAUUUUUAUCUCUUUACUACAUUUAAGUACCUAUAUUUAUUUAUACCAGUGAGUAUUACUAAUGUUCAAUUCAAUUUUUACAGGAAAAAAAUCUAUUCCAUACUUUGGUAAGGCCUAAUAAAAAUAUUAUAUUAUAUUCCUGAUUGUAAAAAAUGUACUUUUGUAAUCUGCUAUGUGACAAAAUUUUUAUAAUCUGUUAGUAAAUUGAUGCGAGCUCUACGCUCGUAGAAUAACGUUAAUAUGUUUUUGUAAGAUUUUUUGUAGGCCAACUAGCGUUCUGUUAUUUACAGGGUUGUAUACAGGGUGUUCUUUCAAAAAUAUUCCUAAUUUUGUAUAUCUUAUACAACCCCUAGUUACCAAAGCAUAAUUUCUAUGCUGCAGAUUAUUUGUUUGAGAGUUUAUCUAUUUUUUUGUAUAUGUGUAAAUGUGAUUUUAUGCCGAAGCCCCAGCAAAGUCCAUAAAUGAUUUUAAUCGUGUUAUUCGUAGGCUAUACUUUUGUAAUCCGUUAAGCGAAGUGGAAAUCAGAGCGGUGGAAGAUACUGUACGGCGACGGUCACUAUGCGGACUAGACCUCGCAAACCAAUGCGUUUUUUCAGCGGUAAAUGUAGUCGUAUAAACCAUUUCAAAUUAAAGUAUGCAAUGAAUGCAGACGCUUUGCUUUUGGCUAUGUUAGCUGACGAAAUGCCAAGAUAAGUUUGAAAUUAGGUUCCUAUUUAUAAUGUUCCAAUUUAUAAUGUAAGAUUUAAGUAUAAUAAUAAUUUGGAUUAAAAAAAAAGGGCGGUCUAGACACAACGUCUUACCAAACGAUAAAACGUUCAUCCGAAUCGUUCGAUAAGAAGUACAAAAGAAGGGCGGCCACACGUAUCUAACUUAUCGGUCAAAUUUUAGUUUCGCGACGCUUUUGGUCAUGGAAGAAGCGCUUCUUUGGCCGCUCUAUGCUAUUUGCAUUGCAUUAAAAAGCACAAAUAAACGAAAAAAAUCGAAGAUUAAAAUGGUCGAGGGAAUGGCUGUUAAAAAAAACGGGCAUUUUCUCAUGUCAGAUUAUUACGUGAACUACUUAAAACCAGAUGAUUGGCGUAAUUACUCGAGGAUGGUACUGAAACUUACAACCAUUUUUUAAAAUCUGCUACUCCUUACAUUAAAACGCAAAACACAUACAUGAGAAAAGUCAUUUCAGCUCAUGAGAGACUUAUUGCCUCUUUAAGAUUUGCAACAGGAAGAAGCUACAAGAUUUGGAAGUCACCACCAUCAUGUCCAAGCAAUCACUGAGAGAAAUAAUACCGGAAGCUUGUGACGCUAUGUACAGGAUUUUAAAAAAAGACUACCUAAAGGUAAGUUUUAGAAAAUAUUUUUAUUAGAGAUGAACUAAAUAUUAUUGAAGAAGAAAAGUAAAAAAAUAAAAAACGUCUUCUAUAAUAAAUACAUAAAUAAACACUUCCUGUUAUUAAUUUAGUUUCUUAUUGUUAUUAUUUUGGUGAUACCACGUUUCUUAUUUCUUUAAACACUCUUAUUGGAUUUAAAAUAUAAAACAUACUGAACAAUAUUUUUGGGAUUAGAGUCUGUGUCCUUUUCUGAAAAUAGGGUUCGGUCGUCUGAUCUGUCUGGCCAAUCUCAAGUAGCGAGUGAUAAGGUUCUUCUUUGUUUGUUUGUUGUGAAAAUUUUGUACCUGAUGAAAAGAUGCCCCUUUAUGGUAUUUGCUACUGAUUAUGGAAUGAUGUGAAGUACGGAUUUUGUUCAAUAUUGGAAAAAGUAAAAUUUGUGUUAGCGGGUUCCACGCCGGAGGAGGAGGUAUUAUUUGUAGCUGUUGGGCAUGCUGUUUUUGGCCGAUUUCCAAUUUGGAUUACUCUUGAUGCCAGCCUUGACUUGGAAUUUGUCCAUUUGGUUCGAUAUUGGUGACGGUGUAUGGUAUAUUGAUGGUUAAAGUGUUGCUUUCUGAUUUCUCGUUGAGACUGUUGAGGAAGAGGGUGUUGGUCUUAGUUAUAAUUUUGGAACAUCUAUUUAAGGAUCAUAUGUCCGCCUUAAAUAAAACAUUAGAGAUAAGUUUCAUUGCAAACUUAAAUUGAUCAGGAUGGACUGCUCGAAGUCUAACAGCGAUAUAUUUUCCAAAUCGGCCAUGUCAAUCUUCCUGCAAUAAUUCCAAUUUACUUCAAUAAUUCCUUUGUAAUAAUUCCUUUUUAUAUGAUAUUUUAUACUCUGAUAUGCUAAGUCAAUCUGAAAGAAUAAAACAUUACAACUUUAUAAAAAAAAUAAAAAUACAACGUGAAGAAAAGGUAUAAAAAAUUAAGCAUAUUUGAUGCAAAUCAAAAUUCCAUUAACUAAUUUAAUAAUAAUAGUUCAAUUUUUUUACAUUUUUUUGCUAAAUUUAAUUAAAUGAUAAGAACUUGCAUUUAUUAGUUACCUACUUUAAAGGUAAGAGAGAGGUAAGUAAUGUAGUUUCUUUCUCUGUUUUAGUUUCCAAAGAACGAACAAGACUUGUUACAAAUAGCAGCCGACUUUGAAACAAAAUGGCAAAAAAAUCAUCAUUGGCAGUAUUGAUAGCAAGCAAAUCAGGAUUGUUCGACCCAAGGGAAGCUGAUAUUAUUAUUUUAACUACAAAAAGACGCAUAGCAUAGUUCUUUUGGCAAUAGCUAAUGCGAACUGUGAGUUUAUCUACUGCGAUGCUGGCACAAAUGGUAGGUUCUCUAAUGGUGGAGUAAUUGCUAAUAUCACAUUUUAUGAAAAACUAGUUAGUAUCCAGAAUCUAUGUUAAUUCUAAAGAAAUUCUUGAAUAUAUGUUUAUUGAUGAUGAGGCUUUUGCAAUGCGUCCAGAGCUUAUUAAGCCAUAUAGUAGGGAAACACUUAAUAGAGAUUGAAGAAUUUGUAACUAUCGGUUAUCCAGAGUCCGACGGACUAUUGAAAACAAUUUCGGAACUUUAGCGUCCCGUUUUCGAGUUAUCCACACUGCUAUAAAUUUGAAGAUAGAAAACAUUGACAAGGUUGUUUUAACAUAUUGCGCAUUACAUAAUUUUUUUCGCAAACAAUCUCCACAAAAUUACACACCUCCAAAAAGUAUGGAUAGAGAAAUUUUUCCUGUAGAUUAUUCUCUUGAGUUAGGAGACAGGUGUGAUCCUAAUUUAAUGCAUGACCUUCAAAGAGGAAGAAGAGGCCAAAUUUUAAAUAAUGCAAAAAUAGAGAAAAGUUUUGUGGCCAUUUUACCAAUGAGGCUCAGUCCCAUGGCAACAUAAUAUAGUUUUUCAGUAGUAGGUCAUAGUUUGUAGUACAUGUUAUAAAAAGAGAAUUGAAUGCUUAUAGAAUCUACUUAUAUUAUUAAAUAUACAUUACUUACCUCUUUUUCACUUUCCUGUUGUCCCUCAUCAUCGAUAGUAUUUGUCGAUUGUCUCAUUUGAUCUUGGUCACUCAGAAACUCAAGUAUAUCAAAGUAACAUAACGUCGGUUUGUAAAUAUCAUCUUCACCAGCAAUGAAUAUUAUCAAUUUCCUUGUAUUUUUCAAUCAUUAUUUCAUAUGCGUCUGACUUCUUAUUCCGACCACUAUAAUACUGGGCACUUUUAACUCGCCACAAACAAGGAAAAUCACGAUACAGUUUAAUCAAAUCCCUUAAAAAUUAUCGGAAACAAUGACGAAGAUCAGACAUAUUGCUUUUAAAUUUUUAAAAACAAAAUAUCUUUAAAUACGCAUACACGAAGCAACACAGUGCGAUAUAUACUACAAAAAUAUACUAAAACAAUUUUCGAUAAAACUAAAGUUUGUCCACACGCUUCAACUUUUCGAAUCAAUUUUCAUAAAAUGAUGCAUUCCACAUCAUAUUUUCGACUUAUGGGUACAACCUUAUUUCGAUCAUGCAAGACGUACUUUUUGUGUUCUACACGCGCCGUUUUACUUCAUGCGACUUGUCUGAUUCGAUAAAUUGUUUAAUAAGACGUUGUGUCUGGACGGCCUUUAAAGAUCGAUUAUUUGGAUGAAAUUUUGAGAAUUUAAAACCAAGGCAGAAUACUAAUAGAACUGAAUAAUUAGUAAGAUAUAAAAUAAAUAAAUAAUAAUAUUUAUGAAGAUUUAAUUAAGAUUUUAUAUUUCAAACAAAUACAAAAUUAAUUUUACUUCAGUCAAGUAUUACUAACUAUACUAAGUAUUGUAAGCAUGUUUUUAUAGAAUUGUAUUUAUUAUUAUUAUAUUUUUCUAUGUAGCAAUUUGCUAAAUAAAUAAACAUUAUUAUUAUUAUUAUUGUUAUUAUUAUUAAGCAUUUCCGGGGUAAGCGGGUAAAGCGGGCACGUUGAAUGGAACGCGCUUCGAUUUAAUUAAAGGCAUAUAUUAUCAUCUGUUCACCACCGCUCUGAUUCGCGCUUCGCUUUGGGUUUUAUAUAUUUAUUCGUUUGCGCAAAGUAAAAGACCGAUCUUUUCUAAUUAAUGACCUUAAGCUAUGGCAGAAUAAACCGUAUUCAAAUAAAUAAUGUAUGCAAUAGAUACGCGUCCAAGGACACCUGUUUAUUCUGCAUAGGAAAUUUAAUAUCUUAGAUAUAAAACUGAAGAAAUUUUUAUAACAGCUAUUAUAAAGCUGGUUUAAAGGGGCCACCUUUAGAUAAUUCUCUUCAUAGACAGUCCGUUCAAUUUAGAAAUUAUAUACCUUACAUUAAGGAUCUAGUACUAAAUCAAUUAAUCUUUUGUUUUCUUUUUACUGUACUAUUGUCAGUAAGACUAUUUCUUUGUUUUAGCCUGUUAGUAGUCUUAAAUAUAAUGCUAUUUCUAUGAAUGUUAAAUAUAUGGCAUGAAACGAGGAAGUAAAGUAAAGGCUCCACAGUAUUAAACUACCCUUUUUAAAAGUUAUUUUUCAUAUUUAUUUCUUCUUUUUAAUAUCAUUGAUCGGUCAAGUGAGUUAUAUGCUAUGAAUUGUUAUUUAGAUAUUUCGAUGGUCAAAUAUUUUAUAACGUCCUAUAUUAGGCCACUAAUUUUAAAAAAUAUAUAACGAAACAAAUCCGGAAUUUAAUAUUUGCCAAUUAAAAAAAAUUGUACCCUGAAUAUCAUCCUAUUAUUAUUUUUUAUUUUGACAAGAGUGUAAGCGACUUUAAAUGGGGUUAAAUAGAUUGGAUUAAAAUAAUAUACAUAUAUUGUGUUAUUUGUUAAAUGUUAACUAUAUUUUAGGACAAGUUAAUGGUUCCUGUGGCACGUCACAGGUAUUUUUGUUGGUUGUAUUAUUGUACUCUGUAUCAACUGUGCUAAUAUGUACUUAAUAAACAUGGUUGUGGAUACGUGUAA